rnacentral:lncRNA from 10 species
ACAGUGCCCCCCUCACCGAUGAGUCUCACUGCACUUUAUGGCAGCCUUGCCUCAAGAAAUUUCUAUUUUCACCACCAAGGGUUGGUCUUAGGCUUCAGCCUUGGAUCCUGCCCUCUGGGGACCCCUCUCCUCCUCCCCGACUUAGGAGGAGAAGGCAGGGCUGGGGCGGGUGAGCAGCCGAGGGUCUCCAGGCAGAGCUCCUCAUGCAUAAAACAGGCGGGCUUUUCCUCCGCAGCUAAUCAGAACCUCUGGGCCGAAAGAUGCAAAUGAAGGGCCUCGUCAAGUCAUUUCCCUUGCAAAUGAAGCUGCCGCUCCGGCGCUUUUUCCUCUUGAAUACCUCAUCAACACCGCAGGUGACCCGGAGCCCGCUGCUCCGCUCGGCCCCGCCCCGGGCAGCUAUUUGGCACAUUUCAAUUAGCGUAACGGGUGCCUGGUAAACAGCCGAGGCCGGCUGCGGGCACCUGCAAUCCCCGACCCCCGACGCCCUCCCCGAGACCCUGGAGACGCGGCUCCGCCCCCACCGGUAAUUAGGAGAUUUUCAAGGCCUAUGUCCCCAAAGCCCAGCCCAGCUGGAGAGAUCAGCCCUGCGGUCCUGCCGCGCACUCCACCGCCAGCCUCUCGGGAGUCAAGGGAUCCGCCUUCAGGGUGUAAGUGGGGCUGGGGAGCCUCGGGAGAGGAAGGGUGGUGUUUGGGGAGUCCAGGCCAGUUCUUAAGGCAGACGGCUACGGGCCACGUCCGCUGGCAGAGCUCAGCUUCAGAUAAACCCAGGGAUGAAGAAAAACUCAAGCCGCUCACCCUCUGGGUGCCUCAAAGUCUUUCUAUCUGUAACAUAGGCUAAUGAAAUUACCUUCCUUGUAGGGACUUAGGAGUAAAUGAGAUGAUCUGGGUAUAGCCUUUGCAACAGUAUCUGGAACUUAGGAAUUGCUCAAUAGGGGCCAGGCGCGGUGGCUCACGCCUGUAAUCCCAACACUUUGGGAGGCCAAGGCGGGCAGAUCACCUGAGGUCAGGAGUUCGAGACCAGCCUGGCCAGCAAUGGUGAACUCUUGUCUCUACUAAAAAUACAAAAAAUUAGCCGGGCGUGGUGGCGCACGCCUGUAAUCCCAGCUACUCAGGAGGCUGAGGCAGGAGAAUCGCUUGAACCUGGGAGAGGGAGAUGGCAGUGAGCCGAGAUGGCGCCAUUGCACUCUGGCCUGGGCGACGAGCGAAACUCCGUCUCAAAAAAAAAGAGAAAGUGCUCAAUAGAUGCUAGCCACAAUUUUUGUUAAUAUUCUAUCAGCGCUUCCCUGAGUGCAGAUAUCAAACCCACCACAGAGUGUACAGUGAUCCUACUACAGAAAUAGCCACUUACCGUGGGAGGGAGGAUGAAUUACUUAACCUCUGUGCUGCUGUUCUUGAGCAUAAAUAAUGUACCUAUUUUGCCUGGCGGGGUGGCUCAUGCCUGUAGUCCCAGCACUUUGGGAGGCCAAGGCAGGAGGAUCGCUUGAGGUCAGGAGUUCGAGGCCAGCCUGGGCACCAUAGCAAGAUCCCGACUCUACAAAAAGUAAAAAAAUUAGUUGGGCCUAGUAGUGUGCACCUGUAGUCCCAGUUACUGAGGAGGCUGAAGUGGGAGGGCCACUUGAGCUCCUCAGCCUCCUGGUUGAAGCUGCAGUGAGCUGUGAUUGGGCCACUGUACUCUAGCCAGGGCAACAGAGUGAGAUCCUGUCUCUAAAAAUAAAGUACCUAUUUUGUGGGGUUACUUGGGGGACUGACAGAUAACAGAGCUCAAGUGCUCUUUAAGGACUUUGAACCAGAUUGCUGCAUCCAAAUCCUGGCCCCACCCCACCUAGCUGUGUGACCUUGGGCAAACUACUUAAAGUCGCUAUGCCUCUGUUCCUCCUCGUAGCAUGAGGGCAUGUAGUAGUUCUCACUACUAGGAUUAUAAGGCAUUGCUAGAGAAUACUUUUUAUAAAGGAGUAUCAUGGCUUCAUCAAAUAGAACAAACACGUGUCCAUGGUUUUAUUUAACUCAUUAAUUCACGAGGGAUCCUGCAAGGUGCUACAACCAAGUUCAAAGGAGAAUUCAAAGGGCACUCCUAAGUAGGCAGUCAGGAACAUGGAAAUGAAUUUACAAAUAGAUGCAAAACUGGCCACAAGGCAGGAAUCAAUUGCAUUCCAUCCAAAGCUUCCUUCUUGGCACUGAGCUUGGGUGUGGGGACCCCUUGCCAGGGCUUCUGAGGCCAGAGCUCCUGGGGUCAUCAUGGCCUGUCCAGCCAUCCCUUUUCAGGACCUGUCACCUUGUAGGGAGCCUCCUAGGACUGGGACACAGGUUCCCCCACCCUCCGAAUCAUCUGCCCUCAAAGCUCCAAUCCUCUUCCUUUCUGGGGAACAUUUAGUGACAUUUUGUGAAACUGUCUCCCAUUCUCCAAGCCUCAGAGCCGUCCCACCCUCAGAAGUUUAUCUUCCACCCUCCUAGCCCUUAGGGGUGGAUGAGAGAGGAGAGAGAGGGGAGAGAGGGGAGAGAGGGGAGAGAGGAGAGAGAGGAGAGAGAGGAGAGAGAGGAGAGAGAGGGGAGAGAGGGGAGAGAGGGGAGAGAGGAGAGAGAGAUCUGAAUUCGGAUUCUUUUAAAGUGAGGACAAAUGACACAUUACCACGCUGGGAAAUCAUCCUGCCCCAAAUGGUCACUACUUUAAAAUGUUACCUUGCGUCUGUUCAGAGGGGGCUUCUCAGUUCACCCAGGAGGGAGAGACCCUCAGAACUCUGCCAGUCAUCUUCUCAGGGAAGCCUUUCCUGUCCUCACCUCCCACCUCGUCCCAGCAGCCCGGCUCUGCGUUGCCAGAACUCCAGGGCUUAGCUCAGGCCCUACAGGUGUGGUCUGUCUGCCUGCAAUGACCCAGGAGCUCCCUGAGGGCAGGGCUGGGUCUUCAUCUCCCCACUGUCUGGCAUCAUCCUAGCAGGGAUGGAGCUCAACACAUAGCCCAGCCGAAGUCCCCCAGAUGAAUGAGCAAACCCUGAGUCUUGGUUGAGGCUUGGUUCAUGCAGCAGGCUCGUGCCUUGGCCCUGGGAAAGCUCCCAGAUGAGUUGGGCUGGGCAGAGGUGCAGGGCCCUCAGCCUCUGGCUUACCCCACUCUCUUCCACUUUACUCCACUCCACUCUCAUCUCCUCGAUCCACCCCACCUCUGCUAGUUAGCGAAGCUCCUUGGAGAUUCCUCUUGAAUUUUCAUUAAUUUCUAUUGAAUAAUUAAAACCAGGAAAUUAAUACUUUCAUCCU